CAGAGUAUAGCUCAGCGGGAAAGCGCGUGCUUAGCAUGCGUGAGGCCCUGGGUUCAACCCCCAGUACCUGC
rnacentral:tRNA from 1 species